CUGUUAUUUGUACAAUAGAAGCCUGAUUGUAGGAUAAAAUAGAACUAUUGGUUUGUGGACUAAUGGUUUAUUGUGAAGACUGCUCUAAUAUGAUCAGAUGCCCUUUUAUCAAAGCCAUGAUUCAAUUCCAACAAAAACAUGGGUGCACAUGCUUGAUGUCACAAUAUUGAAUUUGCAAGCUGUUAACAUGGUUAAGCCAAAGUUCAGUAUUGGAAUUUGUUAAGAGUAUUUCUUCCUUUUUAAAAAAAUCUCAAAACUUUAAUUUUAACAUGAAAAAGUUGUUUUUUUUAAACUUUUUAGCUUCUUU
rnacentral:lncRNA from 1 species